rnacentral:rRNA from 1 species
UACGGAGGGGGCUAGCGUUGUUCGGAAUUACUUGGCGUAAAGCGCACGUAGGCGGCUUUGCAAGUUAGAGGUGAAAGCCCGGGGCUCAACUCCGGAAUUGCCUUUAAAACUGCAUCGCUAGAAUUGUGGAGAGGUAAGUGGAAUUCCGAGUGUAGAGGUGAAAUUCGUAGAUAUUCGGAAGAACACCAGUGGCGAAGGCGACUUACUGGACACAUAUUGACGCUGAGGUGCGAAAGCGUGGGGAGCAAACAGG